rnacentral:rRNA from 1 species
GACGUAGGGCGCGAGCGUUGUCCGGAUUUAUUGGGCGUAAAGAGCGUGUAGGCGGCCAUACAGGUCCGUUGUGAAAACUGGAGGCUUAACCUCCAGACGUCGAUGGAAACCGUAUGGCUAGAGUCCGGAAGAGGAGAGUGGAAUUCCUGGUGUAGCGGUGAAAUGCGCAGAUAUCAGGAAGAACACCCGUGGCGAAGGCGGCUCUCUGGGACGGUACUGACGCUGAGACGCGAAAGCGUGGGGAGCGAACAGG